rnacentral:misc_RNA from 1 species
GUGGGUGAACCUGCGGAAGGAUCAUUAACACUGUUAAAAAAGGGAUUCAAAAUCCUUUUUAUCUUAUACACCCCUUUCUAUGAAUGAACGAUGAUUUUAUCAUUUCCCUUCUUUAUUCCAACCUUUUUUUACCCCAAUCUACCAAAACAUGCGAUAGACUGAAAUCAUUUUUUUUGAAAAAACAAAAACAAAAAAACAACUCUUAGCAACGGAUAUCUUGGCUCUC